rnacentral:tRNA from 1 species
GAGUCUGGCUCAGCAGGUUCAGGGCAUCCCGAUUUAUAAUCGGGAGGGUCGGCGGUUCGAUCCCGUCAACUCCCA